UUGUUAAACUUAACUGUGUGUGGAUGCGC
rnacentral:piRNA from 1 species